UACGGGGGGAGCAAGCGUUGUUCGGAUUUACUGGGCGUAAAGGGCGCGUAGGCGGCCACUGCAAGUCGGUUGUGAAAUCUCCGGGCUUAACCCGGAAAGGUCAAUCGAUACUGCAGGGCUAGAGUCCGGAAGAGGCGAGUGGAAUUCCUGGUGUAGCGGUGAAAUGCGCAGAUAUCAGGAAGAACACCCGUGGCGAAGGCGGUUCUCUGGGACGGUACUGACGCUGAGACGCGAAAGCGUGGGGAGCGAACAGG
rnacentral:rRNA from 1 species